CAAACCUCUACACAACAUCCGGAAAUUUUAAUUAUGGAUCUUCAUCAACAGCAGGUAUUCCAGUGGUCAUCCGGGUGUUUGUGAGUGUGGUUGUGUUGGUGUUGGGACUCAUCCUGUUACUUGUCUAUAAAUGGAGAGUCAGGAAAUCAUCAAAGUCAGUCAACCGUCUAGGGUCAUCAGCCCAAGACUCCACCUACUACAACCUUGCCGUAAUAACCCAAGACCCCUCCCACCAAACCCUCAACAAAACAUGGCAAGACUCCACCUACCAAACCCUUAACAAAACACAUCAAGACUCCACCUACCAAACC